GUGGAAAACGAUGUGAACCCUCUUGGCCUUUGUAAACUGAAUGAUGCACACCUGGACAGUUUGUUCUCAUAUCCUCCAUUUUUAAAGCCCUCCAAAGGUGUAACCGAUGGGGAAGACGUUAUCGAGCUUGAUAUAGAUGAUAUUAAUAUUGAUGAACCUUUAGUUGUGCGGUUUUCACCUAAGACAAGCAAGAAUGAAAACGAAGGCAAGAGAUCA
rnacentral:misc_RNA from 1 species